AGACCAAGGUGGGAAAGAAGAGAAGAGGGAAAGAGUGGGGUAGGUCCCUCAGAAAAAAACACCUAUGCUCAAUAUUGUGGGACAGGGUGUGUAAAUCCAAAUGCCAGGAUGUUGCCCCAUGGAGGGUAUUCCCCAAAACAAUAGGAAGAUCUUGGAGUGUUUCCAUGGAGACAGCAAUGCUUUCCUUCUUCUCCUUAGACAUUAAGCCCUGCUACUGGUUGGUGCCGGUGCUGGGUCCCCCUUCCCCACUUGUGUGAUGCUUCUCACCUCAGUAAGUUCAAUUUACCCUCUCUUCCACUGCCAAAAGGCGAAGUGCAGCCUUUUGUAGCUGUGUUAAAUGAGGGUGGAUGAGCUGCUUUUAAAAACUUCGGACAAAUUAAGGGCAGUUGCAAUUGUCCUUUGGACAAAGGUAGUGUACUACCUGUAGUGCUGCCUGCCCUAUGUCUCUUGCUCUUCCCCAGACUGUAUUUGUUAACCUCCCCCCUUCUAUAGGCUUUGAUCCUAGUUUGAGGCUGUAUGGAGCACCAAUAGGAGCAAUUGAUAUUGGCUCCGCAGGAACCAUGUAAAGCUACCUUUAGUAAUUUUGCAAUAUUCUAAAAGGGAAUUUGGAAGUUUGGAAAGGGCUAGAAACCUUAGCAGAAAGAAAAUUUGGAAGGGCUAGAAACUGUAUUCUAUUAUUCCUGGAGCUCCUGCUCACCUCAGACAUGGAUAACGCAAAAGGCUGAAGCACAAAGGACCAGCCUUCCUUGAACUUGGCCAAGCAGUUGAAAAAAUUUAGCUGCUGUUUUGCUAGCUUUGUAGAAGUAGAUGAGCCUUGGUUUCUGGAUGAAAGGCACUGCAGAAAUGUAAGCUCCUUGCCUGUAUUCCUGCCAGAUCAUGGGCUGCUCUAGUUAAGGCUCUCUGAGGAAAUGGUGAAAUGCACAGGCAGAAUGCCUCAGAGCACUUGAAGAUAAGAUCAAACUCAUUGCUCAAGCCUUUUGCAGCAUUUCAGCUGGUAGCACUUCAAUUUCAUAUUAUGAUUUUCCUCCUCAUAUUCUUGUGACUCAAGGUCAUCCUUCCUUGAAUCAAAACCCAGGGCUGUCAGAAGGGACCAGUCUUCUUGUGACUGGGAACUCAAAACAGCCAUUACGGAUGGCAGGGCUCACAAAGAGCCAAAAAAAAAUUAUGCUACGUCCCCACCUUUUUCUCACCAGCAAAAGAACUACAUAGGGAUGGGACUGUACCAGCACCUUGCCACCCCUGAAGCCCUUAGCACUAAAAUGUGACCAAUUCUGUUUAGCUGUAGGCUCUGGGCAAGAUAUAAAGGCCUGAACUGACCUGAAAAACUCAAGAUCAAGUGGAGGUAUGGCUGAAGGAAUAUACAGGGGCUGGCACAGCUUGGAGAUCCUCAGCAUGCACGAGGAGAGGAGACGUUCAAGAGAAGCACCCAGGUGGCAAACUCAGCAGCUUACAACAACCCCAGGCCUGACCCUGUAAGCUUCUCAUCUGAGCUUCCUGCCUGUGUUGUGCCCUAAGAAACACACAGGGACCUUGACCAUUGUCUGGCAGCAGUGGCCUGCUGCUCUGGGUGCCAUGUGGCCAGCAGCGGGAGCCAUGUCCUGGAAGCAGGGAGGCAUUUGGGUGUGUGACUGUGGCUGUGGGCUGGGGGCUCCCUCUCCCUGUGCUCUGAAUGCAAUUCCUGUGGAGGUUUCACUGCUCUGCUAUAUUUUCAAGGAAAAUACAGUGCCUGGUGAGAGACA